UACGUAGGGGGCUAGCGUUGUCCGGAUUUAUUGGGCGUAAAGAGCGUGUAGGCGGCCAGGUAGGUCUGCUGUGAAAACUUGAGGCUCAACCUCGAGACGUCGGCGGAAACCAUCUGGCUAGAGUCCGGAAGAGGAGAGUGGAAUUCCUGGUGUAGCGGUGAAAUGCGCAGAUAUUGGGAAGAACACCGGUGGCGAAAGCGCCUUGCUGGACCUGCACUGACACUGAGGGACGAAAGCUAGGGGAGCGAAAGGG
rnacentral:rRNA from 1 species